rnacentral:misc_RNA from 1 species
GAUGAAGAACGUAGCAAAAUGCGAUAAGUAAUGUGAAUUGCAGAAUUCAGUGAAUCAUCGAAUCUUUGAACGCACAUUGCGCCCGCCAGUAUUCUGGCGGGCAUGCCUGUUCGAGCGUCAUCUCAACCCUCAAGCACAGCUUGGUGUUGGGACUCGCGUUAAUUCGCGUUCCCCAAAUUGAUUGGCGGUCACGUCGAGCUUCCAUAGCGUAGUAGUAAAACCCUCGUUACUGGUAAUCGUCGCGGCCACGCCGUUAAACCCCAACUUCUGAAUGUUGACCUCGGAUCAGGUAGGAAUACCCGCUGAACUUAAGCAUAUCAAUAAGCGGAGGA